rnacentral:sRNA from 1 species
UCCUUCCUAUCUGUACCAUUGGGGUGGAAUCUAGCUUCUGGCAUGCCCAGCAAGCCCUCUACCACUGACCUGUAUCCCUCAGCCCGAUUUCACUGGAAGAGAAUGGAAGGGCUUGGGCCGUAUACAACGGUAAUCCUAGCACUGGGGAAGCAGAUAGAAGCAGACAGCGACAAGAGGGUUGAAAGUGACCGACGUAAGGUCUAGAUCUUCCUGGGCCACACAGGCAGACUCUAUCUUGAUGACAGACAGUUUGAGUGAUUUCAAGCUCAUGGCGACAUCAUUUGACUUAUAUUUGAGAAGGGCCCUUGCCUGUGGAGAAUGAGUUUUGAUGUGUAGUGAACCUGGAAGCUGAAGGCCAAGUUGGGAAGUGUUUGGGAAGCAGGCCAUCCCAUUGCACUGCUGGAGUGGGUACCCCCAAAACAAAGAUGGCACAGCCUUUUUGUCGUUUGUCUUCUCAGUGUUAGGGAUUAAAUACAGGACCUGGCACAUGCUGGACGGUCACUGUCCCACUGAGCGAAGCUUCAGCUCCUCUUCUGCUCCCUGCUCUGCUACUUCCCUACUGUAUGAGCUUGAGCAGCCUCACAGGCUCUGGGAUCCUUGUGUGCCCAUCUCCAGACUGAAGGGGUUUUUCCUAGCUUAUUCUUUUUUCUUCUUUUGCUACUCUCCAGGUUCAGCUCUACUUGGAACGAGGGCAACUCUCCAUCUUGACUGUCUAUGUACCUGGUUCUUUAAAGGCAGCUUCCUCCCCUUCGUUCUGAUUCUGGCCCUGGGUAGGUGGAGGCCAUACCUCCUUGUACCCAGGAAGUAAGCUGUACUCAGUUCCUAAUCUGGGUAAACCAUUAAGCUUGGUUGUCUUCUGAAUGGGACCGGAAAUGGGGCCACUGUCACCUUCUUCUGCUUCAGAAGCUGUUUUUACAUCCAGAAGAGAGCGUCACAAACUGCGUAACUUACAAAUGGAAGAACCGUUCUGCAAAGUGCUAGAAGGUUCAACACCUGGCAAGGAACCAGCGUGAACCUGUGUUAGGGUCUCACUACGAUAACCGGGAUGGGCUGGAAACGCUCUCUGUAAAACGGUCUCGGCUCAAGCUCAAAGAUAUAUGUCUCCCAAGUGCUUGCAUUAGUGGCGCAUGACACUACCUACUGUGCUUCAUUUAGGAGAGCCUCACAUAGCUUACUCUGGCCUUGAGCUCGUUAUGCAGUAAAAGAUGAUCUUAAACUCCCCAUCUUCCUUACAAGAGCGCACCUAUCAUGGCCUCUUUCUGUGACACUGGUGAUCAGACCCAGGUUUGCACACAUCCUAGGCGAGCACUCCCCUAACUAAGCCAUGUUCCCAACAUACACCAACAAGCUGUGUGCUAUCAUACAGUGGUGGAACUGGCCAAGCUGUGCGGUGCUAUUCUUUUGUUGCUGUUGUUGUUUUGAGGCAGGGUUCCUGGAAUUCAAUAUGUGUACCAGGUUGGUCUCAAACUCACAGAAAACCACCCGCCUCUGCCUCGCAAAGAUGUGAGCCACCAUGCCUAGCAAGAGGACCUUAUUCUCUUCUCAAGAGACAAAAGAAUCUGCAAUUCCCUCUUAGAGAAGCCCACACCCAUGCUCUCGGGUAUUUUGUCCUUCCUUCUGAGUCUCUUAAUUCUAGUGAUUAAACCUAGUCUAGUGAUUAAAUUGAAAUACCCAAUUGAGGGGUUGAUGAGAUGGAUCAGUGGUCAAGAGCACUGGCUGCUCUUCCAAAAAACGAACAA